ACGAACGCUGGCGGCGUGCUUAACACAUGCAAGUCGGGCGGUAAGGCCCUUUCGGGGGUACACGAGCGGCGAACGGGUGAGUAACACGUGGGUGACCUGCCCUCAGCUCUGGGAUAAGCCUGGGAAACCGGGUCUAAUACUGGAUAUGACUCCAUGACGCAUGUUGUGGGGUGGAAAGCCUUGUGCGGCUGAGGAUGGGCCCGCGGCCUAUCAGCUUGUUGGUGGGGUGAUGGCCACCAAGGCGACGACGGUAGCCGGCCUGAGAGGGCGACCGGCCACACUGGGACUGAGACACGGCCCAGGCUCCUACGGGAGGCAGCAGUGGGGAAUCUUGCGCAAUGGGCGAAAGCCUGACGCAGCGACGCCGCGUGAGGGAUGACGGCCU
rnacentral:rRNA from 1 species